rnacentral:rRNA from 1 species
GUCGAGCGAGAAUUUAAUUAAGGAGUCUUCGGAUGAAUUAAUUAAAGGAAAGCGGCGGACGGGUGAGUAACGCGUGGGAAACCUACCAUAUGCAAAGGGAUAGCCUCGGGAAACUGGGAUUAAUACCUUAUAAAACUCUAGUAUCGCAUGAUACAUGAGUCAAAGUGCUUUAGUGGCAUAUGAUGGUCCCGCGUCCCAUUAGCUAGUUGGUGAGGUAAAAGCUUACCAAGGCGACGAUGGGUAGCCGGCCUGAGAGGGUGAACGGCCACACUGGAACUGAGACACGGUCCAGACUCCUACGGGAGGCAGCAGUGGGGAAUAUUGCACAAUGGGGGAAACCCUGAUGCAGCGACGCCGCGUGAGCGAUGAAGGUUUUCGAAUCGUAAAGCUCUGUCCUAUGGGAAGAAUAAUGACGGUACCAUAGGAGGAAGCCCCGGCUAACUACGUGCCAGCAGCCGCGGUAAUACGUAGGGGGCGAGCGUUGUCCGGAAUUAUUGGGCGUAAAGGGUGCGUAGGC